rnacentral:rRNA from 1 species
UAGGGAAUCUUUCGCAAUGGACGCAAGUCUGACGGAGCAACGCCGCGUGAGUGAAGAAGGAUUUCGGUUCGUAAAACUCUGUUGUUAGAGAAGAACAGCGCAUAGAGUAACUGUUAUGCGUGUGACGGUAGCUAACCAGAUAGCCACAGCUAACUACGUGCCAGCAGCCGCGGUAAUACGUAGGUGGCAAGCGUUGUCCGGACUUAUUGGGCGUAAAGCGAGCGUAGGCGGUCAAUUAAGUCGGAUGUGAAAGCCCCCGGCUCAACCGGGGAGGUUCAUUGGAAACUGGUUGACUUGAGUGCAGAAGAGGAGAGUGGAAUUCCAUGUGUAGCGGUGAAAUGCGUAGAUAUAGGGAGGAACACCAGUGGCGAAGGCGACUCUCUGGUCUGUCACUGACGCUGAGGCUUGAAAGCGUGGGUAGCAAACGGG